AUUGAACGCUGGCGGAAUGCUUUACACAUGCAAGUCGAACGGCAGCACGGACGUCGGUCUGGUGGCGAGUGGCGAACGGGUGAGUAAUGUAUCGGAACGUGCCCAGUCGUGGGGGAUAACGUAGUGAGAAUUACGCUAAUACCGCAUACGAUCUAUGGAUGAAAGCGGGGGAUCGCAAGACCUCGCGCGAUUGGAGCGGCCGAUAUCAGAUUAGGUAGUUGGUGGGGUAAAGGCCCACCAAGCCAACGAUCUGUAGCUGGUCUGAGAGGACGACCAGCAACACUGGAACUGAGACACGGUCCAGACUCCUACGGGAGGCAGCAGUGGGGAAUUUUGGACAAUGGGCGAAAGCCUGAUACAGCAAUUCCGCGUGCAGGAUGAAGGCCCUCGGGUUGUAAACUGCUUUUGUACAGAACGAAAAGGUUUCUACUAAUACUAGGAGCUCAUGACGGUACUGUAAGAAUAAGCACCGGCUAACUACGUGCCAGCCGCCGCGGUAA
rnacentral:rRNA from 1 species